UACGGGGGGUGCAAGCGUUGUUCGGAUUUACUGGGCGUAAAGGGCUCGUAGGCGGCCAACUAAGUCAUACGUGAAAUCCCUCAGCUUAACUGGGGAACUGCGUGUGAUACUGGAUGGCUUGGAUUUGGGAGAGGGAUGCGGAAUUCCAGGUGUAGCGGUGAAAUGCGUAGAUAUCUGGAGGAACACCGGUGGCGAAGGCGGCAUCCUGGACCAAUAUUGACGCUGAGGAGCGAAAGCUAGGGGAGCAAACGGG
rnacentral:rRNA from 1 species